rnacentral:lncRNA from 1 species
AAAUUUGGUCUCAAAUGGGAUAAGAACCCAAAACCAUUGCUUUGAGGCAGUGAAUGGCUUGUAUAAAGUUAUUUUGGGUUAGAAUAUGUUAUAAUACAAUGAAUUUGAUUGAUUACAAGUGCUAGACAUGCAUGAAGAAUGUUUAGAAGUGAGAAGAAAGACUUGUUGAAAUUUGGUCUCAAAUGGGAUAAGAACCCAAAACCAUUGCUUCAAAUCUUACAUAGAAGUGAGAAGAAAGACUUGUUGAAAUUUGGUCUCAAAUGGGAUAAGAACACAAAACCAUUGCUUUGAGGCAGUGAAUGGCUUGUAUAAACUUAUUUUGGUUAAAAUAUGUUAUAAUACAAUGAAUGUGAUUUGAUUACAAGUGCUAGAGAUGCAUAAAGAAUGUUUAGAAGUUAGAAGAAAGACCUAUCGAUAUUUGAUCCCAAAUUGGAUAAGAACCACCAAAACCAUUGCUUUGAGGCAGUGAAUGGCUUGUAUAAAGUUAUUUUGGGUUAGAAUAUGUUACUAAGUACAAUGAAAGUUGAUUGAUUACAAGUGCUAGACAUGCAUGAAGAAUGUUUAGAAGUGAGAAGAAAGACUUGUUGAAAUUUGGUCUCAAAUGGGAUAAGAACACAAAACCAUUGCUUUGAGGCAGUGAAUGGCUUGUAUAAAGUUAUUUUGGGUUAGAAUAUGUUAUAAUACAAUGAAUUUNNN